rnacentral:rRNA from 1 species
AGUGAACGCUGGCGGUAGGCCUAACACAUGCAAGUCGAACGGCAGCACAGUAAGAGCUUGCUCUUACGGGUGGCGAGUGGCGGACGGGUGAGGAAUACAUCGGAAUCUACUUUUUCGUGGGGGAUAACGUAGGGAAACUUACGCUAAUACCGCAUACGACCUACGGGUGAAAGCAGGGGAUCUUCGGACCUUGCGCGAUUGAAUGAGCCGAUGUCGGAUUAGCUAGUUGGCGGGGGAAAGGCCCACCAAGGCGACGAUCCGUAGCUGGUCUGAGAGGAUGAUCAGCCACACUGGAACUGAGACACGGUCCAGACUCCUACGGGAGGCAGCAGUGGGGAAUAUUGGACAAUGGGCGCAAGCCUGAUCCAGCCAUACCGCGUGGGUGAAGAAGGCGUUCGGGUUGUAAAGCCCUUUUGUUGGGAAAGAAAAGCAGCAGGUUAAUACCCCGCUGUUCUGACGGUACCCAAAGAAUAAGCACCGGCUAACUUCGUG